rnacentral:rRNA from 3 species
GAUUCGUCACACUAUCAUUAACUGAAUCCAUAGGUUAAUGAGGCGAACCGGGGGAACUGAAACAUCUAAGUACCCCGAGGAAAAGAAAUCAACCGAGAUUCCCCCAGUAGCGGCGAGCGAACGGGGAGGAGCCCAGAGCCUGAAUCAGCAUGUGUGUUAGUGGAAGCGUCUGGAAAGGCGCGCGAUACAGGGUGACAGCCCCGUACACAAAAGCGCAUGUGCUGUGAGCUCGAUGAGUAGGGCGGGACACGUGGUAUCCUGUCUGAAUAUGGGGGGACCAUCCUCCAAGGCUAAAUACUCCUGACUGACCGAUAGUGAACCAGUACCGUGAGGGAAAGGCGAAAAGAACCCCGGCGAGGGGAGUGAAAAAGAACCUGAAACCGUGUACGUACAAGCAGUGGGAGCACCCUUCGGGGUGUGACUGCGUACCUUUUGUAUAAUGGGUCAGCGACUUAUAUUCUGUAGCAAGGUUAACCGUAUAGGGGAGCCGGAGGGAAACCGAGUCUUAAUUGGGCGUUAAGUUGCAGGGUAUAGACCCGAAACCCGGUGAUCUAGCCAUGGGCAGGUUGAAGGUUGGGUAACACUAACUGGAGGACCGAACCGACUAAUGUUGAAAAAUUAGCGGAUGACCUGUGGCUGGGGGUGAAAGGCCAAUCAAACCGGGAGAUAGCUGGUUCUCCCCGAAAGCUAUUUAGGUAGCGCCUCGUGAAUUCAUCUCCGGGGGUAGAGCACUGUUUCGGCUAGGGGGCCAUCCCGGCUUACCAACCCGAUGCAAACUGCGAAUACCGGAGAAUGUUAUCACGGGAGACACACGGCGGGUGCUAACGUCCGUCGUGAAGAGGGAAACAACCCAGACCGCCAGCUAAGGUCCCAAAGUCAUGGUUAAGUGGGAAACGAUGUGGGAAGGCCCAGACAGCCAGGAUGUUGGCUUAGAAGCAGCCAUCAUUUAAAGAAAGCGUAAUAGCUCACUGGUCGAGUCGGCCUGCGCGGAAGAUGUAACGGGGCUAAACCAUGCACCGAAGCUGCGGCAGCGAACGUAUCACCCAAGACAACUUUACGGAGUUGACGAUUGACGGAGCGAAGCGACGUCAAAGCGUUCAUUAAAGUCGAGUUGGCUUAGGGAUACGUUCGUUGGGUAGGGGAGCGUUCUGUAAGCCUGUGAAGGUGUGUCGUGAGGCAUGCUGGAGGUAUCAGAAGUGCGAAUGCUGACAUAAGUAACGAUAAAGCGGGUGAAAAGCCCGCUCGCCGGAAGACCAAGGGUUCCUGUCCAACGUUAAUCGGGGCAGGGUGAGUCGACCCCUAAGGCGAGGCCGAAAGGCGUAGUCGAUGGGAAACGGGUUAAUAUUCCCGUACUUGGUGUUACUGCGAAGGGGGGACGGAGAAGGCUAUGUUGGCCGGGCGACGGUUGUCCCGGUUUAAGCGUGUAGGUGUGUGUUCCAGGUAAAUCCGGUUCACUUUAACACUGAGGCGUGACGACGAGGCACUACGGUGCUGAAGCAACAAAUGCCCUGCUUCCAGGAAAAGCCUCUAAGCAUCAGGUAACACGAAAUCGUACCCCAAACCGACACAGGUGGUCAGGUAGAGAAUACCAAGGCGCUUGAGAGAACUCGGGUGAAGGAACUAGGCAAAAUGGUGCCGUAACUUCGGGAGAAGGCACGCUGACACGUAGGUGAAGUGAUUUACUCAUGGAGCUGAAGUCAGUCGAAGAUACCAGCUGGCUGCAACUGUUUAUUAAAAACACAGCACUGUGCAAACACGAAAGUGGACGUAUACGGUGUGACGCCUGCCCGGUGCCGGAAGGUUAAUUGAUGGGGUCAGCGUAAGCGAAGCUCCUGAUCGAAGCCCCGGUAAACGGCGGCCGUAACUAUAACGGUCCUAAGGUAGCGAAAUUCCUUGUCGGGUAAGUUCCGACCUGCACGAAUGGCGUAAUGAUGGCCAGGCUGUCUCCACCCGAGACUCAGUGAAAUUGAACUCGCUGUGAAGAUGCAGUGUACCCGCGGCAAGACGGAAAGACCCCGUGAACCUUUACUAUAGCUUGACACUGAACAUUGAGCCUUGAUGUGUAGGAUAGGUGGGAGGCUUUGAAGUGUGGACGCCAGUCUGCAUGGAGCCGACCUUGAAAUACCACCCUUUAAUGUUUGAUGUUCUAACGUGGACCCGUAAUCCGGGUUGCGGACAGUGUCUGGUGGGUAGUUUGACUGGGGCGGUCUCCUCCUAAAGAGUAACGGAGGAGCACGAAGGUUGGCUAAUCCUGGUCGGACAUCAGGAGGUUAGUGCAAUGGCAUAAGCCAGCUUGACUGCGAGCGUGACGGCGCGAGCAGGUGCGAAAGCAGGUCAUAGUGAUCCGGUGGUUCUGAAUGGAAGGGCCAUCGCUCAACGGAUAAAAGGUACUCCGGGGAUAACAGGCUGAUACCGCCCAAGAGUUCAUAUCGACGGCGGUGUUUGGCACCUCGAUGUCGGCUCAUCACAUCCUGGGGCUGAAGUAGGUCCCAAGGGUAUGGCUGUUCGCCAUUUAAAGUGGUACGCGAGCUGGGUUUAGAACGUCGUGAGACAGUUCGGUCCCUAUCUGCCGUGGGCGCUGGAGAACUGAGGGGGGCUGCUCCUAGUACGAGAGGACCGGAGUGGACGCAUCACUGGUGUUCGGGUUGUCAUGCCAAUGGCACUGCCCGGUAGCUAAAUGCGGAAGAGAUAAGUGCUGAAAGCAUCUAAGCACGAAACUUGCCCCGAGAUGAGUUCUCCCUGAGACUUAGAGUCUCCUGAAGGAACGUUGAAGACGACGACGUUGAUAGGCCGGGUGUGUAAGCGCAGCGAUGCGUUGAGCUAACCGGUACUAAUGAACCGUGAGGCUUAACCUUACAACGCCGAAG